rnacentral:rRNA from 1 species
UACGUAGGGUGCAAGCGUUGUCCGGAAUUAUUGGGCGUAAAGAGCUCGUAGGCGGUCUGUCGCGUCUGAUGUGAAAACUCAAGGCUUAACCUUGGGCCUGCAUCGGGUACGGGCAGACUAGAGUGUGGUAGGGGAGACCGGAAUUCCUGGUGUAGCGGUGAAAUGCGCAGAUAUCAGGAGGAACACCGGUGGCGAAGGCGGGUCUCUGGGCCAUAACUGACGCUGAGGAGCGAAAGCAUGGGGAGCGAACAGG